CAGGGAGAUUCAGGUGGGCCCUUGGCCUGUGAGGUGACCCCGGGAGUGUUUUACCUUGCCGGCAUCGUGAGCUGGGGAUUUGGUUGUGCCCAGGCUAUGAGACCUGGUGUGUACUCCAGAAUUACCAAAUUCACAGACUGGAUCCUGGACACCAUCUCCCAGUUGCCCAGUGAUGGCACAAGCACACCUUCCAGUUCAGCCAUCCCUAGAACUUCUGCCACGGCCAUUUAUAUCCAGCCCAGCACAAUGGCUGCAAGUCCAACCAGCAGAACCACCCUGGAGACAAAGAUGAACAGAACCAUGAAUGAAACUUCCACAGCUCUGAGAGCAACUGAGACUGUGAAGCCUACCCAAACCCCAGUGGUGCCUUGUACCAGCCUCACUUUCAAGUGUUCCAGCAAGGUGUGUAUUGGAAAAGAAAAUCCUGAAUGUGAUGGUGUUGUGGACUGCAGCAAUGGUUUCGAUGAGCGCAACUGUGGUGAGUUCUCCUCUGUAGCCUGUGGCUGCUGCCAGCUGUGCUCUACAUGACCUGGACUCCACAGUGGUACCCACCUGUCUUGCUUUUGGAAGACAGGUGUCUGCUAGGGAAGGCAGGAGCCUGCCUUGGAAUGAAGAUGUAGACCCCCUCCCUCUGAAUUAUUAUAAUUUUGAAAUCAAGGAGCUCUCAGACAGAGAUCUGGGGAUAGGAAUAACAGUUCUUUAAUAGAGUGUAUAAUGAGGCAUACAAACAACAAUAACUACAGUGUUAACAACAAAACAGAACCAGGGACCCCAUGACAGCCUUCUCAGCUGGGACGGGAAAGGAUGGAGGAGAGGCUUUGCUUCACAAACCCCCUCGGGCAGUCCUGGUGCUCCUGAGGGGCUCUGAGGAACACUCAGCUGGAACAGCAGGGAUGAGCUGAGAUCCUGGGCCAGUGGCUGAGGUGGAUCAGCAGGGAUGAGCUGAGAUCCUGGGCCAGUGGCUGAGGUGGAUCAGCAGCUCCACGGUGGUGGCUGGCACUGCCACACGUCCCGGCAGUACAGGGGGUGCGAGGCCACCAACGAAGAGGGAAGGAGAAGAAGCAGCAGCUCUGUCUGGGUGAUGGUGAAUUCCCUUCUCUCCACAGCAACAGCUCCCAGCAAAGUGUCCUUCUCUGUAGCUGAAGAAGCCGCCAAAUUGUCCCCACCCUCCCCUUUUCCUGCCCCCCUUGGCCCAGCCAAACACUUUGUGUUUUCUCAAGCACCCACCAAGUACCUGCAGUCAGGUUUUCCCCAAAACUAGUGGGUAAAAACUCCACAGGUGGGCCAGAACUAAAAGAAGGACACCUAACCCCCAACACCACCAUAUUCACACUAGUUGU
rnacentral:lncRNA from 1 species